UCGAUCCUGUCUUACCCUCCCCUGUUCUCUCGCUUUUUCAAAGGGAUCUCGGCAUGAAUGUAAGUGGAUUAGCUCUGGAGUUGUUCUACCAAAACACUUUCAUCUGGCAACGUUCGUUCGUGGCUCGUUCACGACUCAUCGAGACGAGGAAGGAGGGAGAGAGAGAAAGUCAAACAGCAACCGGCGACGGGGGAACUACAAGAGGACAAAGAAGAAAAAGUGUGCCAAUUCAGUCAAUUCAUGAGAGAAAAAGAAAGAAAGCUUUGGCAGACUGUCAUGCCUGACCCCGCUUUAUUAUGGUGCAACACACAAUCCUGUCAAGUGCUACGAAUUUGUCCUGUAAAAUGCUACAACAAUCACAGUCAGUCUCAGCUACACACAUCCACCCGCAUCUCGUCCAAUAAACACACAAGGUCAUCGAGGUCCACGUGGAACUCACCAGAGAA